GAUGCGGGAAAUAAAUAAAAUAAAAGCGAGUGCAGGAAAUAAAUAAAAUAAAAGCGAUGCGGGAAAUAAAUAAAUUAAAAGCGAUAAAUAAGAACCUGCUCCAAAUGGAGGCUUCGAUUCUGGUACAAAAAUAAACCUCCGACUCCUGAAGCUAAAGACGACAUCAACUUGAAGUGAACCAACUCAAUAUCACAAAGGUGCG
rnacentral:lncRNA from 1 species